rnacentral:misc_RNA from 1 species
GUAUUUGUUGAUGUUUUCCCAUUUUUCUUUGCAUCUCUUUGCAUUCCGAUUGUAUCCAAUUUUCUUCAUUCCAGAUGAUAUCUCUUCCCAAAGUGGACCUUUAGGUCCGUUCUCUUGGUAUUUGACAUCUAAAUUUGUACGAAGUUUAAUCAAUGCUUCAACUUCUGCUUUUGGCCACCUUGAAGAGCUUGCUGGACUGUAACUAUCACCUCCGUUAUCGCUUUUUGGUACUAACUCCAUGUUCUUGGAUGGCACUGGUGGUGUCAGUGGUAGCGACAAUGAUGGUAUUAAUGCUGGUACUGGAGCUGGUAUUGUUACUGGCAACGAUACUGGGACCGGUGCUGGUUGAGGUGGUGCUGCUGCUGUAACAGUCGUCGGUUGUAUUUGUGUUGGUACAGGCGCGGAUAGUGGGUUUUCAGGCAAUUGUAUUUGUACUUGUGCUGAUGGAGGGCCAACGUUGAUACUAUUUGGAAUUUGAAUGUUUUGCUGUUCAGUUAUCUUUUGUAAAAAAGAAAUAACAGCUGCAUCCUUGGCUGCCGCCAUUGCUCUUUCUUGAACUAAAAGAUCAUGCUCCCUAUUCAUCCUUGCCAUUUCCUCUACUUUCCAUGCUUCUUCUCGAACCAUCCGAUCAUGUUCCCGCUUCUCAAGCUUCUCCAAGAACCUCCUGUGCGAUUCCUCCUGCUUAUUAAUCACAUCCUUGGUGAACUUCUCAAAAUAAUCCUUCCAUUUCCUCUUCUUCUUAUGCCUUCUUUGUAUAUCCUCAUCGGAGGAAGUAGACGAAGAAGUUGAAUACGACAUUGCUGAAGCGUUCACUUGUUGAGGAAUAUUAUUAAUCGGAUUGACAGCUGGCUGCGGUGAUGGUUGCUGUGAUGGCGGUGGUGGUAGUGGCACGGGUGAACUUGACGGAGCAUUUUGAUGAGGAGCAAAAAGGCUAUUCGGUGGCGGUGGUGCUGAUGAAAUAGUAACAUGAUGAGGAAUAGUACCUUGUGAAGCCGUGACUUGUACAUUUGAUGAUGCCAUUGGCAUAGCCAUAUUUAUUGGAGUAGCUUCCAACGGAGGGGGUGGAGGACGCGUAUUAGACGACGGUACUGGCAUUAGAGAAUGAUGAGAUGUAAUGUUCUCCAGGGCUUCCAAUUGCUCGAAAAACCUAUAAUUCUUUCCAUCCGCUUUCGAUGCUCGGCCAUCCUUGGUUCUCUUGUGAUAUUUGUAUACAUUUUCGAACUUCUCCUUGCAUUUCUUGGAACUUCUGUGAAACCCAAGGUCUGCCAUUUUCCUGGAAACUUCUUCCCAUAAAGGUCCUUUAAGACUUGAGUCUCUAAAAAUAACAUCCAUUUCAGACCUUAUUUUCAGCAAAGCAAUUGUUUCUUGUCUUGGCCAUCUAUUUCCACCUGAAUUUCUUUCUCCAUCUUCCGUCAUGAAUCCACCGCUACUACCUCCACCGCCGCCACUUCCACCGCCUAAUCCAAUCUCACUACUCCCUCCGCUUCCAGCUCCUCCACCGCUUUCUGGAUUAUCACCACCACCUUCACUACUUACUAAGCCGGAAACGCCCAGCAUCGCUUCAAUUGCAAAAAAACAACAACCUCCUUCUUCUUCCACCUCCUCUAUUUCUUCUGUAAACCAAGCAAGUUAGCAAUUACACCAAUGAAUUAUACGACAGAAGAAAAAAAAAGAGGGUGAAUUCUAAGGGGUUUUUAUGAAGAUG